AGCAGCCGCGGUAAUUCCAGCUCCAAUAGCGUAUAUUAAAGUUGUUGCAGUUAAAAAGCUCGUAGUUGAAUUUCGGGAUUGACAUGUUGGUCGUGCCUUAAGGGGUAUGAACUGGCAUUGUCGAUUUCUCACCUUCUGGAGAAUCACGAUGCUCUUAAUUGGGUGUCGUGUGGAUCCAGGACCUUUACCUUGAAAAAAUUAGAGUGUUUAAAGCAGGCAUUUUGCUCGAAUACAUUAGCAUGGAAUAAUAAAAUAGGACGGCUUGGUUCUAUUUUGUU
rnacentral:rRNA from 1 species